AGCCCAGAGCCUGAAUCAGUGUGUGUGUUAGUGGAAGCGUCUGGAAAGGCGCGCGAUACAGGGUGACAGCCCCGUACACAAAAAUGCACAUAUUGUGAGCUCGAUGAGUAGGGCGGGACACGUGGUAUCCUGUCUGAAUAUGGGGGGACCAUCCUCCAAGGCUAAAUACUCCUGACUGACCGAUAGUGAACCAGUACCGUGAGGGAAAGGCGAAAAGAACCCCGGCGAGGGGAGUGAAAAAGAACCUGAAACCGUGUACGUACAAGCAGUGGGAGCCUCUUUUAUGGGGUGACUGCGUACCUUUUGUAUAAUGGGUCAGCGACUUAUAUUCUGUAGCAAGGUUAACCGAAUAGGGGAGCCGAAGGGAAACCGAGUCUUAACUGGGCGUUAAGUUGCAGGGUAUAGACCCGAAACCCGGUGAUCUAGCCAUGGGCAGGUUGAAGGUUGGGUAACACUAACUGGAGGACCGAACCGACUAAUGUUGAAAAAUUAGCGGAUGACUUGUGGCUGGGGGUGAAAGGCCAAUCAAACCGGGAGAUAGCUGGUUCUCCCCGAAAGCUAUUUAGGUAGCGCCUCGUGAAUUCAUCUCCGGGGGUAGAGCACUGUUUCGGCAAGGGGGUCAUCCCGACUUACCAACCCGAUGCAAACUGCGAAUACCGGAGAAUGUUAUCACGGGAGACACACGGCGGGUGCUAACGUCCGUCGUGAAGAGGGAAACAACCCAGACCGCCAGCUAAGGUCCCAAAGUCAUGGUUAAGUGGGAAACGAUGUGGGAAGGCCCAGACAGCCAGGAUGUUGGCUUAGAAGCAGCCAUCAUUUAAAGAAAGCGUAAUAGCUCACUGGUCGAGUCGGCCUGCGCGGAAGAUGUAACGGGGCUAAACCAUGCACCGAAGCUGCGGCAGCGACGCUUAUGCGUUGUUGGGUAGGGGAGCGUUCUGUAAGCCUGUGAAGGUGUGCUGUGAGGCAUGCUGGAGGUAUCAGAAGUGCGAAUGCUGACAUAAGUAACGAUAAAGCGGGUGAAAAGCCCGCUCGCCGGAAGACCAAGGGUUCCUGUCCAACGUUAAUCGGGGCAGGGUGAGUCGACCCCUAAGGCGAGGCCGAAAGGCGUAGUCGAUGGGAAACAGGUUAAUAUUCCUGUACUUGGUGUUACUGCGAAGGGGGGACGGAGAAGGCUAUGUUGGCCGGGCGACGGUUGUCCCGGUUUAAGCGUGUAGGCUGGUUUUCCAGGCAAAUCCGGAAAAUCAAGGCUGAGGCGUGAUGACGAGGCACUACGGUGCUGAAGCAACAAAUGCCCUGCUUCCAGGAAAAGCCUCUAAGCAUCAGGUAACAUCAAAUCGUACCCCAAACCGACACAGGUGGUCAGGUAGAGAAUACCAAGGCGCUUGAGAGAACUCGGGUGAAGGAACUAGGCAAAAUGGUGCCGUAACUUCGGGAGAAGGCACGCUGAUAUGUAGGUGAAGUCCCUCGCGGAUGGAGCUGAAAUCAGUCGAAGAUACCAGCUGGCUGCAACUGUUUAUUAAAAACACAGCACUGUGCAAACACGAAAGUGGACGUAUACGGUGUGACGCCUGCCCGGUGCCGGAAGGUUAAUUGAUGGGGUUAGCGGUAACGCGAAGCUCUUGAUCGAAGCCCCGGUAAACGGCGGCCGUAACAAUAACGGUCCUAAGGUAGCGAAAUUCCUUGUCGGGUAAGUUCCGACCUGCACGAAUGGCGUAAUGAUGGCCAGGCUGUCUCCACCCGAGACUCAGUGAAAUUGAACUCGCUGUGAAGAUGCAGUGUACCCGCGGCAAGACGGAAAGACCCCGUGAACCUUUACUAUAGCUUGACACUGAACAUUGAGCCUUGAUGUGUAGGAUAGGUGGGAGGCUUUGAAGCGUGGACGCCAGUCUGCGUGGAGCCAACCUUGAAAUACCACCCUGGCAACUUUGAGGUUCUAACUCAGGUCCGUUAUCCGGAUCGAGGACAGUGUAUGGUGGGUAGUUUGACUGGGGCGGUCUCCUCCUAAAGAGUAACGGAGGAGUACGAAGGUGCGCUCAGACCGGUCGGAAAUCGGUCGUAGAGUAUAAAGGCAAAAGCGCGCUUAACUGCGAGACCCACAAGUCGAGCAGGUACGAAAGUAGGUCUUAGUGAUCCGGUGGUUCUGUAUGGAAGGGCCAUCGCUCAACGGAUAAAAGGUACUCUGGGGAUAACAGGCUGAUACCGCC
rnacentral:rRNA from 1 species